GAUGAACGCUGGCGGCGUGCCUAAUACAUGCAAGUCGAGCGAACAGACGAGGAGCUUGCUCCUCUGACGUUAGCGGCGGACGGGUGAGUACACGUGGAUAACCUACCUAUAAGACUGGGAUAACUUCGGGAAACCGGAGCUAAUACCGGAUAAUAUAUUGAACCGCAUGGUUCAAUAGUGAAAGACGGUUUUGCUGUCACUUAUAGAUGGAUCCGCGCCGCAUUAGCUAGUUGGUAAGGUAACGGCUUACCAAGGCAACGAUGCGUAGCCGACCUGAGCGGGUGAUCGGCCACACUGGAACUGAGACAGGGUCCAGACUCCUACGGGAGGCAGCAGUAGGGAAUCUUCCGCAAUGGGCGAAAGCCUGACGGAGCAACGCCGCGUGAGUGAUGAAGGUCUUCGGAUCGUAAAACUCUGUUAUUAGGGAAGAACAAAUGUGUAAGUAACUAUGCACGUCUUGACGGUACCUAAUCAGAAAGCCACGGCUAACUACGUG
rnacentral:rRNA from 1 species